AAUCUUCUGGUAUCAUUGGCAACAUGGUGCAAUCUGGUUGCUCUCUGUGCUGUAUACUGCACUUUGAACUCACAGGACGUUACCAGUCCAGAAGGAGUAUCGUGACAGUGAACAGGUUCUACACAACCCCAACCUCAGAGGCCUCCUGGGAUCAACAAGGAUUCAUAAUGUCUCUCCACAAAACUUUCCUGGUCUGUUUAUCACUGGCGGUUUGUGUUAACCAGGCCCAGAGUGGUAAGCCAAACGGAGGCGUACGGCUCACUACAUCCAAGGGUGGGACACUGCAGCCUUGGCUUGUUGGUCUGGCUGCUGUAGUGGGAUUCCUCUUCAUCGUCUUCGUCAUCCUUAUUGUACAAAGGCUUUUCUUCAAGAAGGAAAAAGAGGAAGAUGGUGGUUUGUAUGAGAACACAGCUGUAGAAAUGGAAGCUGGCAAGGCCAGUGAGGUUAAACAAACCAGCCUAUAGAGAGACCACCAAACCAUCCAGGGAGGGGACAGGCUCAGACACCAGUUUCCACGCUCGCAUUGGGUUUCUUACUUCUCCUGCACAUGCAUUUCUUUCAACUCUAUGAUUGUCAUAUCCUAUGUUUGUGCAAUUAAACAAAUGAAGAAAAUAUAGAUAUUGUCCUCAACUUUGCCUGUCAACUGUGCAAACAAGAUAAUUCUGAACAGGAUCUGUUUUAUUGUUGGCUAAAUUGUUUAUACUGUAAUGACUGAUGUUGAUGGUAACAAUAGUGAUUUUGUCUCAUUGAGUAACCAAUGCUUUUACAGUGUCACUGUAACAGAAACUAGUGAUUUUACUUAUACUACCACUAGAUGGAACUGGAUUCUCUUUUUCCAUUUAGAACUCACUAGACCUACAGUACUACACAAAUUGUUAAGGGGAGAGUGGAGUAAGUUGAGCCAUAGGGGUAAGUUGACCAAACAUUUAGGAAGAGGUCAUCAUAUCACGGAGUCUGAAGGAUGAAACCACAUGGAAAAAGUGGUAAGCAAGUCAGCUCCAACAAAACAGAUUUUUACCAAGUCAAAUGAAUUGAUUGUGUUAAAGGUUUCAUGAUGUAUCUAAACCAGAUUGUUCUAUAUCAGUCGGGGUCUCUAUAAGCUUAACUGUGAGAUCCUAAACCUAGCAUGACAGUGCAUCCUUGGAGCUGUGUGGGCUAAUAUAGUCAAAAUGUUUGCCAUGGGGUAAGUUGAGCCAAUGGCAAGUUGAGUAAAUUCCCAGACCUAAUGCAAGGCAUUAUCACUGAGGUAACAACAGGCCUAUGUUAAAAGUGUUUUGUUAGGUGUUAAACCUGUGUUGAAGAUGCUUCGAAGACAAAGAAGCGAUUGUGUUGAAUUGCGUUUGGGAAAUAAAGAUAGAGAUGGGUUUUAAAAAGGUCGUGGAAAUAUUUCAUUUGGUACAUUCAUUUGUAGGCGGCUUAAUUUGCCUGGGGUAAGUUGUACCAAGAGACUUUUUUUGGACAAGCUAUGUUUUCAAAAUUGUAAUGUUUACAUUAAUUCUGAUUAUUUUCAGGGAUACACGACAUCCUGAAAUAUAUGUAGAUAUCUUUGUUAGAAAUAAUACUAUAUUUCCUUUGACAGUCAUGCUGAAUGUAAAAAAUGGCUCACUCUCCCCUAGUCAAUUUUAAAUUGAGAAUAAAAAAAGUGUAAAUUGUGAAGCUAUAGCUGAAAUGUAUCUAAAUACAUGUAUUACAAUCAAUGUUAUUUAUUGGUAAUUUGCAAGUAUAUUUUUGUUGUCAGUUGUUGCAAUUACAUCCCAAAAUAGAGAAUAGGUAGUGUAUAUUCAACUGGCAAACCCUAGAUUGGUAAUACAAUGCAUUUACAUCAAAAAUGUUUGCCAUAACCCUAACCAAGGCAUAACCCUAACCCCUAAUUUGGCAUGACCUUAAUAUUAAUCUUCGCAUUACCCUGACCUCAAUGAGGGAAAGACCCAUCUUUCCCUCAUUGCUUAGGCAGUACCACAGUACGAGAUGGCAAUAUUGAUGUCCAUGAAUGCAAAUCACUGGAGGACUUGAAAUUAGGUCAAUUUAGCCAUCCUCUCAAAUUGCUGAAGAGAGGAUAUAAAGUGUAGCUUGCUUUGUAACUUAAAGUGGAACAAUCAUAGCUACAGUAGGCUGAUAUGCAAAUAAGCUGUUUGCCACACAUGCCUGCAAUCCUCUUUGAACUGGACUGUGAUUACAGCCAGUAACAACAGCGCGGCUUUACAACAUUCGAACGCAUUCGCCAAAAGCCACCUGAAUAGAUUUCUGCAAAUAACAUGGGAGUUCUCUUACAUUUGGGAACUUCACAGUACUAUUGAUCAAACAACCAUGAAACGGUAGGCUCUCUCCCUCAGUUGCCUAUGCACAAAUCAAGAACAAGAUCAACAACUAAUGCCAGCUAUAGCUCAUCCUUUUGCAGUUUGCCUGCCAAUGCAUGCCUGUCCCAACCCACGUUUUGACAUCUGAAUGGGAACUUGCCUGCCUGCCCGCCCAUUUGAUCGACAACUAAGUUCAGCAUAGCUAGCUAACUAGCAUAGCGGUUCACAUUUCUUGCUAGCUAACGUUAACCAAAUGACACCUGCAUAUCUCGCUAUAGGCAACGAACAACCGUAUGAAAGGAAAUGUCCGUCACUCACCAACACCUCCAAUGACAUGACAUCCUGCUAACACCUAGCAAGCUAACGUUAGGCUCCGUGUUUUUAGCUUGCUGUAUAUAGAAUGUUCACAUAUUAAAACAAAAGAGAUAAAUCAUAUUUGUCCAGCCUUUGCUGCUAUGCUUGUAGAUGCGCAUAAUAUGCUGCGACCCUAAUAAAACAGUAUUGAAUAAAUCAAAAUAACAAAAAGGUAACAAAUAGGUUGUUGUAACAUUUUAAGUUUAAACAUGUUUUUAAAAAAAGAGCUGUUCGCCAUCGAUCACCGGUGCAGUUGAACGCAGCAUUGCUGUAUGGCGCGCUCAAAAUGUAUUGUAGUUGAGGUGUCAACCUAGGCUACUGCUCAAAUAUAGUUGAAGUUGAAUCCACCGAAGCAAGUGCAUCAGGCUGUAAUUUCAUAAAGUAGAUGACUCAACUGUUGACUAAUACUUGCUUGUGUGUCCUAUUCGGCCUGCGGGCCUUGUGUGACACAUGUGCGCUAGCCUAUUAGCCAAGUUAUGACUGACUUCUGAUCAUUUCCCUUGGUAGUUUGAUUGUACUGACAUUCCCAGGCUAGUUACAGUCGUCCGUUAGUGUUCAAAAUAUUGAGUCAUUGAAACUGAGUGGGUGGAGGCAGCAAACUAUUUUAUAGGUAGGUGUGAUUUAUAACCUGAUAGCAAUCUAUUUUGGACUACCAACGCAUUUAUUGGUGAAUUAUGUUAAUCAUACAUUGAACUGCGUCCAUCAAUUCUGUCAACAAUGCCUUACUGUACGUCAUGGAUUUUUUUUGUCAAAUAUAACCUAUUUUUGAAACCUUUUAUAGGGGUUGGAGCAUAAACUGUGAAUUUGAUAUUUUUGCUGAUAUUAUGAUUUUCUGUUUGUUUCAUAUCUGCAAAGUAGUUAAAAACCCUGCCAGUUACACUUUAAAGAGUAUUCAGCAUAUUCAGGCUUUCUGUUCCGGAGUUCAGGGUCUCCCUUUUUGUCCAAAGGCCCACCACAGUGCAGAGGGUAUGUAUAUUGGAUCACUGGCACUCUUCUCCCUGGAUCCUGAGUAUUGUAGGAAAUGACUUGUUUAAAUGAGUUCUUACAUUGGGUGGGCUUGCGUCCAAGUGUGAAUCAUCAAGAAGCCAGAGUGCCUGAAUGGAAUGAUUAACGGGGCUUUGCAUUAUAUUACAGCUCUGAAAUCUACAAGUAUAUGUAUAAAUGCAGUGCCCUACAGUAUGAGGUCGAAUACUCAUUUUGAAUGGCAGCCCUGACAGCUUAAAUGGUUCCAGCACAGUGAUGAUAUAUGCUAUUUUUUAUCGAUAUUUCUCAUUUUAUAUUCAUCAUCAGGUUUCCAACCAUCCAAAUACCAGAGAAUGCUCAGAUCUUUGGCAUAAUAAAACUGAUGCACUUGAUAUCAACGUAAAUCAGUGACUCAGUCAUGUUGUAAGAUAAAAAGUCAUUUGAAAGUAGGUGUUUGCGCUGGAGACCAAUCCAUUGUCAUUUCUCUAUUUAAAUUGAGCCAGCUGAUUUUUAGAGAGGCACAUAAUCAAUGCCUACUCUCUGAUUACCCAUCCAUGGGGUUAACUGCAUGUGGUGUGAGUAGAGUUUGGUGAUGUUUUCACCUUCAAAUAUAAGCAACUUUAGGCAACAGAUCCGUUUUAUAAUUGAUAAUCAUCAUAACAAGACAUCUGCACUCUACAGUGAACCACCUGACCAAAAGUUACUUUAAAACUUGAUUGCAUGUUAAGAUUACAAUGUUACAGUCGUUACACUGUCUCACCAUUAGGUGUGACUCAAUCCCCCUGCUCCAAAUGUGUAAUGACAACAGUCUGUAAAGACAGCUUACAGCACUCCAGUGGCCAGAGAGAAGACAGGAGACAGCCUGAAAUAGAAGCGCUCACAAAUAGACCCUUUUAGAGCCACAUAUGAGACCGGAGUCCGUGUCAAACUUUAACUGGGCACGUGGUGGUCUGGUCCUCAACCACAGAGCAUGAGGAUACAGCAGGGGAAAGCUGUGCAAUCCAGAACUUGUGGCAAUCUAGAACUUGUCAGCGAAGCAGAGGGGUUACACGUCUGCCCUUAUUGAGACCACUACUUCCAACGGACAGAAACAGGGCCCAAACCAAACCAUUUCAAAAAAUGGUCCAAGAGGAUCCACUUUGAGCUGAAAAUGUCUUCUGCCUUAGACUUUAGUGCUGCUUUUUAUGAAUCAAGCAAGCUAACAUGAUCUUUGCUAAAUGUUUUCCAGCCUUGACUGGUUUGAGUUCUGAACAUUGGCUAGGCCUCCUCGGGACAUUAAACAGAGUGGCAGCUUGACAGGUUUCUGCGGGUGGAGCUUUUCAACGUUAGUUGAAUUUCCAAUGUGUUAUCACUAUGCGUUCAACCAUCAAAAAGCACAACAAUGGAAAAACAAUGUUUGAUUUUUGGUGUAGUUGUCACCCAAAUGUCUGUCACUGUGCUUUCAAACAUUAAGAAGCACAGCAAAGUUGAAAUUGGAAUCCAAUGUCAGAUAUUUUGUUUAUUUAUACAACAGAUGGUGUUAUCACUGUGCUUUAUCUAAUAGCAGAAACAAAUGACCUGGAUUGGAGUUGAAAUUACAUUAAAAGUACAUGGUGCAAGCGAUCAAUGCCGUUUGAGAUUCUACGUAGCAGAUUAUUACAGGAAUUGUGAAGAUCUCCACAGACCUGCGAUGACCUAUGCAUGCUAUCUUGAACAUGCACGCUUUAUUUGAUUACAUAAGAAGAAAUGUAUAGUUACAGAAACCUCAAAAUGUGGCCAUGGGAUGUGUUACUCAUUUUAAGGUUAAAUGUUACAUUAGUUUGUAAAAUAGCCUCAAUUUAUUUAGUGCUAUUUAGUGUAUUACAAAAGUAAUAUUGAAUUGUGUUUGCUUGACAAGCAACCAAAUAUAGACAUUUAAAGGAGAUGUAUCUACUGCUUGGAUAGUUCCAUGUGAGCCACUGGCUUAAUCCCAUUCUUUAACUUUUAUUUUUGGUUGAGUUGGAGAUGUGAAUCCAACAUAUCAUUUGCGAAUUUGUCGUCAAGUUAAUUGGCUAGUUAUUGUAUUUCAGAAGUGAUACUGAAUUGUGUUUGGUUGUCAACGCAACCAAAUCUCAACAUUUGAAGGAGAUGUAUCUUCUUCUUGGAUAGUUCCAGAUGGAGACAUGAAUCAAACAUAUCAAUUAUAAAGUUGUAAACAAACUGGAAUUAAAACCAGACUAAGUCAGUGGCACAGAUGGAACGAUCCAAGCAGAAGAUCAAAGUCUGGCAUUCUCUGGAUUUAUUGAACUUUCAAGACAACUGGGAACUCUGAAAAAAACAAGGUUGAAUCAUGAUGACGUCAGUGAUCUUCAGGUCGUAGCUCUAGAAAGAGACCCAAGUUCACGACUUACAAUUCCGAGUUGGAUGACCGUUCAAAACCUAUUUUCCCACUUGGAGCUCGUUUUUUCCCGAGUUCCCAGUUGUUUUGAACUCACUGAAGUCAGAUUUCCCAGCUUUGAGUUAAUUUGUUUUGAGCAUGGCAGAAAUCAUGCUGGAUUGACAGCAUGGCCAAUGUUGAAUGUUUAUCAUUUUAAGAUUGGAAAAGAGACCCUUAAACCCAGACUUGGGACCACACACCCACUCCACUGAAUAGCAGGCUAGGGAUAGCUUUGCAAUGGUUGCAGUUAGCCACUGAUUCCUUCCAAACCACUCAUUGUUAAAUUUGCGACUUCCAACUUGUUUAAUGUUUAUGUCCAAUGGCUGAUGAGCACCGAUACAUUUUAUCUAUAAUUUCUCUUCAUUAUUUAUUUUCAUAUGACAAGGAUUAAAAAGGAUUUUCCAGUAGAUUGUCGACUUGAUUUAUGUUGAUGACUGCUAGCUAAGAUUUUGAAAUCGGUCCAAUCAAAGCUAUUGUAGAUAUAAUGGGAUUUGACGUCAUUUUAUCUGUGGCCAAUGACCUUGAGCCUUCUUGGGUGGACACUUCUAAUGUAACUCUAUGGCAGCACCCAAGGGCCUUGAAUUUUUGAGCUCUUCCCUUAGAUUUGGCGGUGACGUAGUGUCCCCAUGAGUGACAGAACAUUGAGAUAAUCACAGGGCAACUGGAGAACAUUACCAACCCCUUUGCUCCAUAUUUUCCGCUGGCUGCCCCACCACCACAGAAAUCACUGAGCCAGGCUGAAACACCUGCAUUUUGGAGCUGCCUUACCCAAGAAUGCAGAAAAGCGACCAUGUUUGUAUGCGGCUUUAUUAACUCAAUGAUUAUUUUUUACAUUGUUUGUAAACUGAUAUGUGACACGUAUUUAAGAAAAACAACAUUUUUUAGGGGGAGGCUCAAAACCCCACCUGCCCUGAAUGACGGGUCGCCACAGUAUACAAGGUUUGUCUAUUUUUAAAUUUGGUUACUAUGAUGACAUAAACAUCUCCAAUCCAAAAUUAAAUCUAGAAUCAGCUUCCUAUUUCGCAACAAAGCAUCCUUCACUCAUGCUGCCAAACAUACCCUCGUAAAACUGACCAUCCUACCGAUCCUCGAAUUCGGCAAUGUCAUUUACAAAAUAGCUUCCAACACUCUACUCAACAAAUUGGAUGCAGUCUACCACAGUGCCACCCGUUUUGUCACCAAAGCCCCAUAUACUACCCACCACUGCGACCUGUACGCUCUCAUUGGUUGGCCCUCACUUCAUACUUGUCGCCAAACCCACUGGCUCCAGGUCAUCUACAUGUCUCUGCUAGGUAAAGCCCCGCCUUGUCUCAGCUCACUGGUCACCAUAGCAGCACCCACUCGUUGCACACGCUCCAGCAGGUAUAUCUCACUGGUCACCCUCAAGCCAAUUCUCCCUUCGGCCGACUCUCCUUCCAGUUCUUUGUUGCCAAUGACUGGAACGAACUGCAGAAUUCACUAAAGCUGGAUACUCCCUCACUAGCUUUAAGCACCAGCUGUCAGAGCAGCUCACAGAUCACUGCACCUGUACAUAGCUCAUCUGUAAAUUGCCCAUCCAAUCUACCUCAUCCCCAUACUGUAUUUAUUUAUUUAUCUUGCUCCUUUGCACCCCAGUAUCUCUACUUGCACUUUCAUCUUCUGCACAUUCUACCAUUCCAGUGUUGAAUUGCUAUAUUGUAAUUACUUCGCCACCAUGGCCUAUUUAUUGCCUUUACCACUCUUAUCCUACCUCAUUGCACAUGCUGUAUAUAGAAUUUUGUACUGUAUUAUUGAUUGUAUGUUUGUUUAUUCCAUGUGUAACUCUGUGUUGUUGUAUGUGUCAAACUGCUUUGCUUUAUCUUGGCCAGGUCGCAGUUGCAAAUGAGAACUUGUUCUCAACUAGCCUACCUGGUUAAAUAAAAGUGAAAAAA
ensembl:lncRNA